UAAAACCGGUAAAGACAAAGCCGUGGUUACCGGUAAUGCACAGUUAGAGAAAGAGACACCGGCCGAGAUUUCAAAAGGAGGAUCAAAAUGAGUACCUUAAUGCUGAAUGGUCUUGACCUGAUCUGCAGAAAUGAUUAUUGAAAACUAAAUUAUUAAUAAAUAUUCAUGCAUUUGA